rnacentral:rRNA from 1 species
AGACCCGAAACCCGGUGAUCUAGCCAUGGGCAGGUUGAAGGUUGGGUAACACUAACUGGAGGACCGAACCGACUAAUGUUGAAAAAUUAGCGGAUGACCUGUGGCUGGGGGUGAAAGGCCAAUCAAACCGGGAGAUAGCUGGUUCUCCCCGAAAGCUAUUUAGGUAGCGCCUCGUGAAUUCAUCUCCGGGGGUAGAGCACUGUUUCGGCUAGGGGGCCAUCCCGGCUUACCAACCCGAUGCAAACUGCGAAUACCGGAGAAUGUUAUCACGGGAGACACACGGCGGGUGCUAACGUCCGUCGUGAAGAGGGAAACAACCCAGACCGCCAGCUAAGGUCCCAAAGUCAUGGUUAAGUGGGAAACGAUGUGGGAAGGCCCAGACAGCCAGGAUGUUGGCUUAGAAGCAGCCAUCAUUUAAAGAAAGCGUAAUAGCUCACUGGUCGAGUCGGCCUGCGCGGAAGAUGUAACGGGGCUAAACCAUGCACCGAAGCUGCGGCAGCGACACUGUGUGUUGUUGGGUAGGGGAGCGUUCUGUAAGCCUGUGAAGGUGUGUCGUGAGGCAUGCUGGAGGUAUCAGAAGUGCGAAUGCUGACAUAAGUAACGAUAAAGCGGGUGAAAAGCCCGCUCGCCGGAAGACCAAGGGUUCCUGUCCAACGUUAAUCGGGGCAGGGUGAGUCGACCCCUAAGGCGAGGCCGAAAGGCGUAGUCGAUGGGAAACGGGUUAAUAUUCCCGUACUUGGUGUUACUGCGAAGGGGGGACGGAGAAGGCUAUGUUGGCCGGGCGACGGUUGUCCCGGUUUAAGCGUGUAGGUGUGUGUUCCAGGUAAAUCCGGUUCACUUUAACACUGAGGCGUGACGACGAGGCACUACGGUGCUGAAGCAACAAAUGCCCUGCUUCCAGGAAAAGCCUCUAAGCAUCAGGUAACAUCAAAUCGUACCCCAAACCGACACAGGUGGUCAGGUAGAGAAUACCAAGGCGCUUGAGAGAACUCGGGUGAAGGAACUAGGCAAAAUGGUGCCGUAACUUCGGGAGAAGGCACGCUGACACGUAGGUGAAGUGAUUUACUCAUGGAGCUGAAGUCAGUCGAAGAUACCAGCUGGCUGCAACUGUUUAUUAAAAACACAGCACUGUGCAAACACGAAAGUGGACGUAUACGGUGUGACGCCUGCCCGGUGCCGGAAGGUUAAUUGAUGGGGUCAGCGCAAGCGAAGCUCCUGAUCGAAGCCCCGGUAAACGGCGGCCGUAACUAUAACGGUCCUAAGGUAGCGAAAUUCCUUGUCGGGUAAGUUCCGACCUGCACGAAUGGCGUAAUGAUGGCCAGGCUGUCUCCACCCGAGACUCAGUGAAAUUGAACUCGCUGUGAAGAUGCAGUGUACCCGCGGCAAGACGGAAAGACCCCGUGAACCUUUACUAUAGCUUGACACUGAACAUUGAGCCUUGAUGUGUAGGAUAGGUGGGAGGCUUUGAAGUGUGGACGCCAGUCUGCAUGGAGCCGACCUUGAAAUACCACCCUUUAAUGUUUGAUGUUCUAACGUGGACCCGUUACCCGGGUUGCGGACAGUGUCUGGUGGGUAGUUUGACUGGGGCGGUCUCCUCCUAAAGAGUAACGGAGGAGCACGAAGGUUGGCUAAUCCUGGUCGGACAUCAGGAGGUUAGUGCAAUGGCAUAAGCCAGCUUGACUGCGAGCGUGACGGCGCGAGCAGGUGCGAAAGCAGGUCAUAGUGAUCCGGUGGUUCUGAAUGGAAGGGCCAUCGCUCAACGGAUAAAAGGUACUCCGGGGAUAACAGGCUGAUACCGCCCAAGAGUUCAUAUCGACGGCGGUGUUUGGCACCUCGAUGUCGGCUCAUCACAUCCUGGGGCUGAAGUAGGUCCCAAGGGUAUGGCUGUUCGCCAUUUAAAGUGGUACGCGAGCUGGGUUUAGAACGUCGUGAGACAGUUCGGUCCCUAUCUGCCGUGGGCGCUGGAGAACUGAGGGGGGCUGCUCCUAGUACGAGAGGACCGGAGUGGACGCAUCACUGGUGUUCGGGUUGUCAUGCCAAUGGCACUGCCCGGUAGCUAAAUGCGGAAGAGAUAAGUGCUGAAAGCAUCUAAGCACGAAACUUGCCCCGAGAUGAGUUCUCCCUGAGACUUAAAGUCUCCUGAAGGAA